AACGAACGCUGGCGGCAUGCCUAACACAUGCCAGUCGAACGAGACCUUCGGGUCUAGUGGCGCACGGGUGCGUACCGCGUGGGAACCUGCCCUUAGGUUCGGAAUAACUCCCCGAAAGGGGUGCUAAUACCGGAUAAUGUCUUCGGACCAAAGAUUUAUCGCCUUUGGAUGGGCCCGCGUUGGAUUAGCUAGUUGGUAGGGUAAAAGCCUACCAAGGCGACGAUCCAUAGCUGGUCUGAGAGGAUGAUCAGCCACACUGGGACUGAGACACGGCCCAGACUCCUACGGGAGGCAGCAGUGGGUAAUAUUGGACAAGGGGCGAAAGCGUGAUCCAGCAAUGCCGCGUGAGUGAUGAAGGCCUUAGGGUUGUAAAGCUCUUUUACCCGGGAUGAUAAUGACAGUACCGGGAGAAUAAGCUCCGGCUAACUCCGUG
rnacentral:rRNA from 1 species